CUGGAAACUUUUAGAAAAGGAGAGAGCUGCAACAAAAAUCACCACUGAUAUAAAAGCAGGAUCUAGAGGAGGAAUGAUCCACGCUGUCCUGGGAGAACGGUCAACUCUUGACUAUUUUCUAAUAACAACUGAGACUUUUAUAACGCAACCCAGAUGUUUAAAUUAAGAGUGACAUCUGUGAAGGUAUCAAGGUGAAAGUCCUCCACGUCCACUUGAGUCAACAGUGCACGUAGUAGCACUUCCUCCUAAAGAAAACCCUACAUAUCCUCUUCAGUGAUUAAUGACUUUAUCACCAAUAAAAAAAUAACACAAUAAGAAGUGAAAUCAUCAUCAAGGCUGUUCAGAUUCCCACAGUGAUAUCACAGUUGAAAAUUGAUAAAAAAAAUCAUCUGUCAGUAUGACUGUGACACCAACUGAGUUUUGUUUUUUUAGCUUCAGUCAAGAGCUUCAACAAAAAUGAUAAUUAAACAUGGUAGAAAAAACCUGUGAUUUUUUAAAAAUGUUUUUUGUCCUUCUGACGAGCGACUGUAAACAAAAGAAACUAAAAACAAUAAACUGUGUUUACCGUGUUUCGUAACAUUAUGACUUUUCUCAUAAAUUUACGACUUUUGUCUCAUGAACUUACGACUUGAAUCUUGCAAUUUUAUUGUUCUUUUUUUAUUUUUAACGUAGACCUAAGGCUGCGUCGUCGGUAAUACAUUUACACAAGUAAAUUGAUUUAGUAUAUUGUACUGCAUAUUUGUGCUAUAAAUAAACAUGACUAUUUACUUAAUUAGAAUAAAUACAUUUUAAUAAUACAAUUAUUAUAAAACACAACUAUGAAAAAAUAUAUAAAGCUUAAGAUGUGGACCAGAUAUUAUUAGUGUGUCAUAAUAAUAUACUUAAGAAGAAAGAAAAUGUUGUGACUACUGUAUAUUUGUCAAACACCAGGGUGUAACCGACAUAACAGGAACUCAGAUGUCAGGUACUCAUGACCUGACGUCACUGAGAAGUUUGCUCAGAGGGCCUAAUUGGCCUAAAUAUUACCUCGUGCUAAGAGUACUUUAUGACUUUAAUCAGGUGUGUUUCUUCUCACCCUCAGUGACUUGAAUAACUCCAGGCUGAUUUUUAGUAUUUAAGCAGUUAUGUUCUGCACAGAGAGCAGGUUGGAAGAGGAAAACAGUUCAACAUGAUGUGGACUUUGGUGUUUCUGUCCAGCAUCACCGCCUCACUGGGAGUGAAAGGUGAUGAACGAUGGCAGACAUCAGGAUCUUGGAGUAGCUGUCGAUACAACUGUGGCUAUACCUUCAGUGACUGUUCCUGCUCCAGCUCCUGUAUAUACUAUGGAAACUGUUGCCAUGACUACUACAGGAUGUGCGGCUCAUCA